AUGUUCCCUUCCGGCUUUCCCAGUUUCGAGCAAUGCCAGGAACCCCAGGGAUGCGGCUGCUUCGAAUGCUGGAGACGUUGGUGCCACCGUCAAACCCAACGCCUCAGGGAGUUUUUCAGGAGGCGCCGUAGGAGCUCCACAUGGGACAAGGGGUGGCGGCGGAGGCGGGAGGAAGAGGACAUCCCCCACACCCCGGUGGUGAUCAGGAAGGAGCCCAGCACAGCUAACGGAGACCUGCAAGGGUUCAAGGCUGAAAGGGCCUCAGCCCUGAGAAGAAUCGGAUCUGCCCAACCACCCCCAGCCGGAGGGAGCUGCUGGAGCAGCAGGUAGAAGAACUGGUGC
rnacentral:lncRNA from 1 species